rnacentral:rRNA from 1 species
AGGAAGUAAAAGUCGUAACAAGGUUUCCGUAGGUGAACCUGCGGAAGGAUCAUUAUCGAAUUAUAAGCGAGGGUUGUCGCUGGCCUCGAAAGGGGCAUGUGCACGCCCGAGCUCUUAAAUCCACAACACACCUGUGAACCCACCGUAGGCCUUCGGGCUUAUGUAUCAUAUAUUCUGAAUGUGUCAUAGAAUGUUCAUGUUGCCUUAAAACGCAAUCAAAUACAACUUUCAACAACGGAUCUCUUGGCUCUCGCAUCGAUGAAGAACGCAGCGAAAUGCGAUAAGUAAUGUGAAUUGCAGAUUUUCAGUGAAUCAUCGAAUCUUUGAACGCACCUUGCGCUCCUUGGUAUUCCGAGGAGCAUGCCUGUUUGAGUGUCAUUAAAUUCUCAACCCCACCGAUUUGCUUCGGGGGGAUUGGACUUGGAGCGUGCUGGCGAAGGUCGGCUCCUCUUUAAAUGCAUCAGUGGAGAGAAACUYGCCCCAGUGUGAUAAUCCUGUUGCGCUGUGGUGGGUGAAAGUCUGCUUCCAACCGUCCUCCGGGACAUACACCAUGUUAUUUUGACCUCAAAUCAGGUAGGACUACCCGCUGAACUUAAGCAUAU